UUUCGGGGGUGAUUUCGCCCACACUAUUAUAUCUCCAAUUAUACACUCUCAUUGACCAUACAAAACCAUGCCAAUGCAAAUUUAGUUCAGACGUUAAAAACAUUUAUUUAAUUAUAUAUUUGUUAAUUAAAUGCAGGAUGUGUUGGAAUGUAGGAGAAGGAUUAGGUUUGAUAAAGAAAUUGUGUCGAAAAGCGGGAGAGAAAAGGAAAAAGCCAAGAAGGAAAGAAGGAAAGAAAGAAAGAAAGAAACAACGCAGGGAUAGAUAGAUAGAGAGAGAGAGCGAAGCCACGGUUCUCUGAUCCAUUCCUUUGCGUAAAAGAUGAAGAGGUCUCUGAGAAAGUUGGGAGUUCUGACGUUAGAGAAGCAUCACCACCACCGUGACCGCUCUAACAUUCUGCCUUUGUCCCAGUUAGAGGACCUCGCUCAGGCUACCCAGGACAUGGAAGACAUGAGAGACUGCUACGAUAGCUUGCUUUCCGCGGCUGCCGCGGCUGCCAAUAGUGCUUAUGAAUUCUCAGAAUCCUUGGGAGAAUUGGGCUCUUGCCUUCUUCAGAACACCGCCUUGCAUGACGAUGAAGAAAGCGGCAAAGUUCUCAUAAUGCUCGGUAAAAUGCAGUUUCAACUCCAGAAGCUCAUUGAUAAAUAUCGCUCUCAUAUUACCCAGACAAUUACCGUUCCCUCGGAUUCUCUUCUGAAUGAACUUCGAAUUGUUGAGGAGAUGAAGCGACAUUGUGACGAAAAAAGAGUUGCAUACGAGUCCAUGUUAACAAGAUAUAGAGAAAGAGGUAGGUCUAGAAGCGGAAGAGCAGAGACUAUUUCCUUGCAGCAGUUACAAAUUGCUCGUGAUGAAUAUGAUGAGGAGGCCACCUUAUUUGUUUUCCGCUUGAAAUCUCUGAAGCAAGGUCAAUCGUGGAGCCUUCUAACACAGGCAGCACGUCACCAUGCAGCUCAGUUGUGUUUCUUCAAGACAGCAGUUAAAUCUCUUGAGACAGCAGAGCCGCACGUAAAAUUAGUAACAGAACAACAUCACAUUGAUUACCACUUCAUUGGUAUUGAAGGGGAGGAUGAGGAUGAUGACGAAGAUGAAGAUGAAAAUGAAGAUGGUGACAGCCAUGAUGAGAAUGAUGAUGGGGAGCUGAGUUUUGACUAUACACAAAAUGAACACGAGCAAGAUGUUUCUACAUUAGACAACUCAAAGAAGUCAUGCAUGCUUCUUCAACCCAUAAAAGCAAAGGGAAGGAAAAACAAAAACCUCACUGGAUUUAGGACUGGAAAUACUACACAGGAAAACUUGGAUAAGCUUCGCAGGAAUUCAUUCUCCUUUAGGGUUAGGUCAGCGAGCCAAUCUGCCCCACUUUUAGCUGAUAAUAAAUGUGAUUCUAGAGAAAGGCUGAGUAAGAUGCGGCCCACUUUAUCACGGAAGUUCAAUUCAUAUGUGCUGCCUACACCAGUUGAUGCAAAGAGUUCCGUAUCUCCGACGUCAAGUAAGCAAGUACCUUCCAAAAUAAAGGCAAAUUUAGAUGAGCCUAUGAAGAAUUUGUAUCAUUCAUCCCCACUGGAACAGAAAAAAUAUGGAAAAACUUUUGGAGAUGGGGCAUUUUCUGGUCCGAAUGUUAGGACUGUGCAGUCUGUAGUCAAGGAGAGUAAUACCAAUACUGCUACCACUAGAUUGCCACCUCCUUCAAUUGAUGGUAAUUUAUCCUCAAAUCAUGACUUUGUUACUGCUUACUCUAAAAAGAUUAAAAGACAAGCCUUUUCUGGUCCAUUGGUAAGUAAUGCUUGGCCAACCAAGCCUGUUUCUAUAGAGAGUGUCCAGUUGUUUUCUGGACCUCUUUUACGGACAUCAAUUCCUCAGUUUCCAUCAUCAUCAUCUCCAAAAGUAUCUCCUAGUGCUUCUCCCCCUCUUUCAUCUUCACCAAAAAUAAAUGAGCUUCAUGAACUUCCUAGGCCUCCAACCAUUUCCGCAUCCAAUUCUAAGCUUUUAGGUUUGGUGGGUCAUUCAGGUCCAUUGGUGUCCCGAGGUCCCCAGCUUUCUGCUCGAAAUAAUUUGGUUACAUCAAAUGCAGCAUCUCCAUUGCCAAUGCCUCCUUCAGCAAUGGCUCGAAGUUUCUCCAUACCUUCUAGCAGUGCUAAAGUUACAGCAUUAGAUGGGUCAAGACCUCCAGAAGACCCUAACAGAUCAUCAAUAUCCGAGUAUGUUGAUUCUCCUCCUCCGUUGUACAUUGCUUCAUCUACUAGUUAGCCAUCAUGAGACGGCUGUCAGACUGUUGCUCGGGUUGCCUUGUCUGGAGGGAUGUACAUGCUUAUAUUAAUAAUAUUCAAUGACCCAGGUAUGGCACUUAAGCAGAUUAACUGUUUUUAAGAAGGUAUGCUCUAUUCAAUAUCGUGAGGGUCAAGUUUUGUUUCUCAUAGUUUGGUACGGUUGCAAAUCUGUAAAUAUUCCUUUAUAAUUCUUUUUCUGUCGUUAUUAUUGUUAAUUCACCCAGCAAUGGGGGCGAUUAUUCAAUUUUUAAUUUUUAGUGAAAUAAAUGACUAUGUAUUGAGCUGUGGAAUUUUUCUUUUAA